CCUACGGGAGGCUGCAGUGGGGAAUAUUGCACAAUGGGCGCAAGCCUGAUGCAGCCAUGCCGCGUGUGUGAAGAAGGCCUUCGGGUUGUAAAGCACUUUCAGCGGGGAGGAAGGCGGUGAGGUUAAUAACCUCAUCGAUUGACGUUACCCGCAGAAGAAGCACCGGCUAACUCCGUGCCAGCAGCCGCGGUAAUACGGAGGGUGCAAGCGUUAAUCGGAAUUACUGGGCGUAAAGCGCACGCAGGCGGUCUGUCAAGUCGGAUGUGAAAUCCCCGGGCUCAACCUGGGAACUGCAUUCGAAACUGGCAGGCUAGAGUCUUGUAGAGGGGGGUAGAAUUCCAGGUGUAGCGGUGAGAUGCGUAGAGAUCUGGAGGAAUACCGGUGGCGAAGGCGGCCCCCUGGACAAAGGCUGACGCUCAGGUGCGAAAGCGUGGGGAGCAAACAGGAUUAGAUACCCCUGUAGUC
rnacentral:rRNA from 1 species